rnacentral:rRNA from 1 species
UCAGUCAAUGGCCGCAGUACACUGACUGUGCUAAGGUAGCAUAAUAAAUUGGCUUUUAAUUGGAGUCUGGUAUGAAAGGCAACAUGGGGUUUCCCUGUCUCCAACGACUUUUAUUUGGAACUUACUUUUAAAGGGUGAAAAGACCCUUGGUAUAAACAAAAGACGAGAAGACCCUUAGAGUUUUAAUAAAAUAGUCAAUUUGAUAUAGUUUUUUAGUUGGGGCAACUGAAUAUCAAUAUAAACAUAUUUAUAAAAAGUGAAACAUGCCGAAUCAUAUGUUAAGGUUGAAUAAACUACCUUAGGGAUAACAGCAUAAUUUUUUUUAAGGUUGUGACCUCGAUGUUGGACUAGGGAAAAAUAAGAUUAGAAGUCUUAUUUUAUAGUUCUGUUCGAACAUCUUACCCCUACGUGAUCUG